UUCCUUUUCAGCCACUCAAUAUCAGUAACAUUUGGCUGCAGACGUCGGACAGUCAGCAUUGAAGUGAGACUGGCAGUGUAGCUCGAGUUUAAGAUCAAUACUACGAAAAGCCACACGACAAGAACCACUCUGGUGAGGUUACUGUAUAUCUUCUCCCCUGCAUAAAAAUUUAAAUCUUAUGAAUUUUCUCUA